rnacentral:hammerhead_ribozyme from 1 species
AUCCAGCUGACGAGUCCCAAAAUAGGACGAAAACCCACGUCUUGGAU